AUGGUGUUGGAGACUUUUAACAAGAACACCCACCAAAAACCUUCACUUUUAAGCAUUUCUUUGAUGAUCAUGAUGGAGUUUGAUGGAACUUAGGAGGAUCUAAAGCAAUCACAAGUUGAAGCAAGCAUAUCCUUCCAUUCAAGAGCUUUCAAACAUCAAGAAUAAGAUCAUCCUUUUUCUUUACUUUUAUCAUCAUCUAGAUCAUCCCUAGCCACAAGUGCUAGAAGUCGUGAUACAAAUUCAAGACAACUGCAAGUGAGGUUACAAUUAUAUACAGUUUACGGAACGCAAUUCUGU
rnacentral:lncRNA from 1 species